CCUACGGGAGGCAGCAGUGAGGAAUAUUGGUCAAUGGGCGCUAGCCUGAACCAGCAAAGCAGCGUGAAGGAUGACUGCCCUAUGGGUUGUAAACUCCUUUUAUAUGGGAAUAAAGUGCAGUAUGUAUACUGCUUUGCAUGUACCUUAUGAAUAAGGAUCGGCUAACUCAGUGCCAGCAGCCGCGGUAAUACGGAGGAUCCGAGCGUUAUCCGGAUUUAUUGGGUUUAAAGGGAGCGUAGGCGGGUUGUUAAGUCAGUUGUGAACGUUGGCGGCUCAACCGUAGAAUUGCAGUUGAUACUGGCGUCCUUGAGUACAGUAGAGGUAGGCGGAAUUCGUGGUGUAGCGGUGAAAUGCUUAGAUAUCACGAAGAACUCCGAUUGCGAAGGCAGCCUGCUGGACUGUAACUGACGCUGAUGCUCGAAAGUGUGGGUAUCAAACAGGAUUAGAUACCCCAGUAGUC
rnacentral:rRNA from 1 species